rnacentral:rRNA from 1 species
AUAGCCUUUCGAAAGAAAGAUUAAUACCGGAGGGGGGAGGAAUAUCGCAUGAUAUUUUUAUUAAAGAAUUUCGGUUAUCGAUGGGGAUGCGUUCCAUUAGUUUGUUGGCGGGGUAACGGCCCACCAAGACAACGAUGGAUAGGGGUUCUGAGAGGAAGGUCCCCCACAUUGGAACUGAGACACGGUCCAAACUCCUACGGGAGGCAGCAGUGAGGAAUAUUGGUCAAUGGGUGAGAGCCUGAACCAGCCAAGUAGCGUGAUGGGGGGGGGGUCUAUGGGUCGUAAACUUCUUUUAUAUGGGAAUAGAGUUUUCCACGUGUGGAAUUUUGUAUGUACCAUAUGAAUAAGGAUCGGCUAACUUCCGUGCCAGGAGCCGCGGUAAUACGGAGGAUCCGAGCGUUAUUCCGGAUUUAUUGGGUUUAAAGGGAGCGUAUGGGGAUUGUUAAGUCAGUUGUGAAAGUUUUGCGGCUCAAUCCAUAAAAUUGGAGUUGAAACUGGCAGUCUUUGAGUUACAGUAGAGGUGGGCGGAAUUCGUGGUGUAGCGGUGAAAUGCUUAGAUAUCACGAAGAACUCCGAUUGCGAAGGCAGCUCACUAGACUGUCACUGACACUGAUGCUCGAAAGUGUGGGUAUCAAACAGGAUUAGAUACCCUGGUAGUCCACACAGUAAACGAUGAAUACUCGCUGUUUGCGAUAUACAGUAAGCGGCCAAGCGAAAGCAUUAAGUAUUCCACCUGGGGAGUACGCCGGCAACGGUGAAACUCAAAGGAAUUGACGGGGGCCCGCACAAGCGGAGGAACAUGUGGUUUAAUUCGAUGAUACGCGAGGAACCUUACCCGGGCUUAAAUUGCAACAGAAUAUAUUGGAAACAGUAUAGCCGUAAGGCUGUUGUGAAGGUGCUGCAUGGUUGUCGUCAGCUCGUGCCGUGAGGUGUCGGCUUAAGUGCCAUAACGAGCGCAACCCUUAUCUUUAGUUACUAACAGGUGAUGCUGAGGACUCUAGAGAGACUGCCGUCGUAAGAUGUGAGGAAGGUGGGGAUGACGUCAAAUCAGCACGGCCCUUACGUCCGGGGCUACACACGUGUUACAAUGGGGGGUACAGAAGGCGGCUACCUGGUGACAGGAUGCUAAUCCCAAAAACCUCUCUCAGUUCGGAUCGAAGUCUGCAACCCGACUUCGUGAAGCUGGAUUCGCUAGUAAUCGCGCAUCAGCCAUGGCGCGGUGAAUACGUUCCCGGGCCUUGUACACACCGCCCGUCAAGCCAUGAAAGCCGGGGGUACCUGAAGUACGUAACCGCAAGGAGCGUCCUAGGGUAAAACUGAUAAGGGGGGCUAAGU